rnacentral:rRNA from 1 species
UGGGGAAUAUUGGACAAUGGGGGGAACCCUGAUCCAGCCAUGCCGCGUGUGUGAAGAAGGCCUUAUGGUUGUAAAGCACUUUAAGCGAGGAGGAGGGUACUGGUAUUAAUACUACCAGGUACUGGACGUUACUCGCAGAAUAAGCACCGGCUAACUCUGUGCCAGCAGCCGCGGUAAUACAGAGGGUGCGAGCGUUAAUCGGAUUUACUGGGCGUAAAGCGUGCGUAGGCGGCUAAUUGAGUCGGAUGUGAAAUCCCCGAGCUUAACUUGGGAAUUGCAUUCGAUACUGGUUAGCUAGAGUGUGGGAGAGGAUGGUAGAAGUCCAGGUGUAGCGGUGAAAUGCGUAGAGAUCUGGAGGAGUACCGAUGGCGAAGGCAGCCAUCUGGCCUAACACUGACGCUGAGGUACGAAAGCAUGGGGAGCAAACAGG